rnacentral:tRNA from 1 species
GAGGGUACAGCUCAGUGGUAGAGCACAUGCUUAGCAUGCACAAGGUCUUGGGUUCAAUCCUCAGUACCUCCU